rnacentral:tRNA from 1 species
GGAGAGGUGGCAGAGUGGUCGAUUGCGGCGGUCUUGAAAACCGUUGUACUGCAAGGUACCGGGGGUUCGAAUCCCUCCCUCUCCGC